UUUUUUUAGCAACGUUUCAAAAUACCUUACCAUAGCAAAUGCCUCUCUAGUGUAAACUAAAAAGAUGAAUAAUGGUCUGCAGUAAAUAUAUCCCCUUACAACCUUUUCUUUCAUGUUAAAUUUAAUAUCUUUAAGAUAUGUGACAAGGGUGCUCUAAUGCAGAGGAAUUUACGAAGUUAAGAAGUUAGAAAUAUAUUUUUUGCACUUUUUUUGUCAUUUUUAGCUGAUUUUGGUUUGUAACCAAGGUGAUAUUUUUCAAAGAAUAAUUUUACAAAAGGCAUAGUUGAAGAACAUCUUGUUGAAAUUGGAUUGGUUGAUUUCUGGUGUUAAACACCACUUUAACAUGAUUUACUAUAAUUUUGGCUGUAAAUUUUUAUUUGUGGAGACAAGCAGAGUGCCUGGUGAAAACAUCACCUUCAUCAUGGAAACGGGCAAACCUGAGUCAAAUUAAGAAUGAAGUUACACAUUUCAUGUGAGGGUUCUCAGUGUUGACAGGCUAGUGAUACAGUAGUUGAACUACUUAUAGGACCACUUUGCCACCAUAAGUCGAUCAGUACGAAAUAUUUUAUUGAAAUGUGUUAGAUUUUUGUUAUCAAUCUAUUUUUUAAUUUUAAUUGUACUAUUUUAUUUUAUUUUGUUUAAUAUAACAAGGAUGUGGAGUCCGAACAGGGUGAAAUUUGGGUCAAAGGGAGGCAAUUUAUUAUACCCCUGUUUAAGUCCACAUACUUGAAAUUCCCUCAAUGUUAGGAUUUUCAUCUACUUGGAUAUUCAUGUUUGUACUUUUUUUUUUAAUAUCAGAUGUAUACUAGCUAAUAUUGACUAUUAUUUAGAGCUCUGUAAUAAAAAAAAAAAUAAAUGUAAGCAGAGCUCUAGAUAAUAAGUAUGCAGGGUGGGAGAAAUCUUGGGUCAUUAACAAUUGAUUUGCUGAAAUUUUCAAGAAAGGGGAUUUAUUGGAAAUGCAUCUGAUAUAUUUAAUGUAUAAAACUAUAUUUAAAAAAAAAAAGAUGUUAAGAUGAUGAGGAGAGCCACCUUGUCAGCCGGGAGAGCAGCUCUAAGCGAGAUGGUCAAUUUAAUCUUCACCAAGUCUGAGGCUUUACCAUGAAAAAUAUGUGGUUGUUAUAAUGAUGUUUUCAUGGUGUUGGGAGUAAGACUUGGAUGUCUGAUAUUGUUAACAUGUUGGUUAGCAUCAGGUUUCCAUUGGGUUACUUGCUGGGAUAAAGCUGUUAUAAGUCGAAAGAGUUGCUGUUGCUGCCUUCCUUGUAUGGUAAAAUCCUCGGACUAAGGCCUUAGGCCAAACACUAAAAGGGAUUAAAACAAAUCCCCUAUUAAACAAUUUAAGUACUGAGUUUUUGGUGCAAUAUGAACUUGAAAUAAAAAUGUUUAGUUAGA